GACGAACGCUGGCGGCGUGCUUAACACAUGCAAGUCGAACGGAAAGGCCCUGCUUUUGUGGGGUGCUCGAGUGGCGAACGGGUGAGUAACACGUGAGUAACCUGCCCUUGACUUUGGGAUAACUUCAGGAAACUGGGGCUAAUACCGGAUAGGAGCUCCUGCUGCAUGGUGGGGGUUGGAAAGUUUCGGCGGUUGGGGAUGGACUCGCGGCUUAUCAGCUUGUUGGUGGGGUAGUGGCUUACCAAGGCUUUGACGGGUAGCCGGCCUGAGAGGGUGACCGGCCACAUUGGGACUGAGAGACGGCCCAGACUCCAACGGGAGGCAGCGGUGGGGAAUAUUGCACAAUGGGGGGAAGCGUGAUGCAGAGACGCCGCGUGCGGGAUGACGGCCUUCGGGUUGUAAACCGCUUUCGCCUGUGACGAAGCGUGAGUGACGGUAAUGGGUAAAGAAGCACCGGCUAACUACGUG
rnacentral:rRNA from 1 species